rnacentral:tRNA from 1 species
GGAGGUGUGGCUCAGUGACAGAGCAACUGCCUGGCAUGCAGGUUCAAUCCCGGCACCUCCA